rnacentral:lncRNA from 1 species
AUGAUCUCCUUACAAGCCACCUUGAAAUCAUUCAAUUCUUUAUUUACAGUCCUUAGACCUAGAUCAGAGAAAACUAGGCUGAGUUAUAAAUUCUGUGGCAUAGCCCGACUGGACUAUGGAAAGAACCCUAGCAUUGCUGGUGACGAUGCACCAGGCGUUGUAGUGUGGAGCCAGAAGCUGGGAAGUGUUUGGUCACUUUGCCCUGCCUUUUGGAUGCAGCAGUGAAUUUCUACUUUGACUUUUGUAGUAAUGGUCUGUAAUAUUGAGAUGAGGUGGUGAAAGAGGGUUUAUACCUCUCUGUGGAGUACCUGUUGAAGGGGAGAUGAUACAGACAUUGGUAGGAUGAUACUGUAAUUGGAUACCCAUUAAUUUUGUUGUACAGUAGGACCCCCAUAUCCACUGGGGAUUGAUUCCAAGACUUCCUGUGGAUACUGAAAACCAUGGAUAAUUUUUAUAUAGCAUGAUAAAAGGGAGAAAAACAACUUUUACCUGCAUUACAAGAACUGGCCAUCAGAGGGUGCCAGAGAUCACACCAUAUAUAUUUCACUAACAAGUAUUCAUAGCACUGUCUCUGGUGCCCUCUAUUGGCCAAUAGUUUUUUUCUUGAUUUUUUUAAAAAAAAUAUUCUUAGACAAUGGAUAGGUGAAACCGCAGAUACUGAUCCCACGGAUAUGGGAGCCCUACUGUAUUUCUUUUCUUGUCUAGAUUGUCCAUAUCUUGUUUGGUUGUUUAUAUACUGCCUCAUUAUUCUGAGUAGUUUACAAGCAGCUCAAACAAACGACACUGGGGGGGGACCCUAAAAACAACAUAGAUACGAAAGCAUAGUCUAGAAAAUUAACAACUAAUGGUGCAAACAAAUUUUCAGAGCGAGGCAGGACUGGAGGCGAGGCACUCUACCAGGGUCUACAUGACAGGUCUCCCUGAAAAGUAAUGUUUUCAACUGCCUCCUAAAUGAAUACAAGCAGAUACUGAUCCCACGGAUAUGGGAGCCCUACUGUAUUUCUUUUCUUGUCUAGAUUGUCCAUAUCUUGUUUGGUUGUUUAUAUACUGCCUCAUUAUUCUGAGUAGUUUACAAGCAGCUCAAACAAAUGACACGGGAGGGGGGAGAACCCUAAAAACAACAUAGAUACGAAAGCAUAGUCUAGAAAAUUAACAACCAACGAUGCAAACAAAUUUUCAGAGUGAGGCAGGACUGGAGGCGAGGCCCUCUACCAGGGUCUACAUGACAGGCCUCCCUGAAAAGUAAUGUUUUCAACUGCCUCCUAAAUGAAUACAAGGAGGGGGCCAGGUGAAGCUCCUCUGGGAGUUGAUUCCAUAAUCACUGCUGAGCAAUGCCACUGCUGAGAAGGCCCUGCCUCUAGUAGAUUACUUUCAGGCUUCUCUCAGGGUGGCUACAUGGAGGAGCCUGGCCUAAGAUGGUGGGUUGGGCAAAUGACAUUGGGAAAAGACGCUCCGAAAGGUCCCAAAACAUGAAGGGCUUUAUAUAUGGGUGUCAGAACCUUGAACCUGAUCUGGAAUACAAAAGAUUACCAGUGGAGGCUGACCAGCAUUGGGGUGAUGUGAUCAAAUUUGCUAGACCUGCAUUCUAGACCUGCUGUAGUCUCCAGAUUAGCCUCAAGGGAAGCCUCACAUAGAGAGCAUUGCAGUAGUUGAUCCGGGAGAUGACCAAGGGAGGAGCCUGGCCUAAGAUGGUGGGUUGGGCAAAUGACAUUGGGAAAAGACGCUCCGAAAGGUCCCAAAACAUGAAGGGCUUUAUAUAUGGGUGUCAGAACCUUGAACCUGAUCUGGAACACAAAAGAUUACCAGUGGAGGCUGUCCAGCAUUGGGGUGAUGUAAUUUGCUGGACCUGCAUUCUGGACCUGCUGUCAAUGUCCUGAGGGAGCCCUCGUCUAGGUAACGACAGAAUUGCGCAAUAACCCUAAACUGAUUAAAGGUUGAUCUGGACAGGGCUGUGAUCUGGGUUCACAGGUUCUGGAAAAACUGUAUGUCAGGAAAAAUUAAAUAUGGAGUUUGAUUGGGAAAUACAGAACAUGUAAAAUGCAGGAAGUCAGCAUUCAAAGUGCAUUAUGCUGCCCAAAUAUGGUAUUAAGGAAAUUACUCCAAGGGGGCCAUUUUCCUGCCUAUAAGCUAUCUCUGAAGGUAGCUGAUUUGAGUGAGUACUCCAACACUGGAGGCAUGCAAGAAAAGCUUAGAUAAUCACCUGGCAGAUAAGCUUUGAUGGUAUUCCUGCGUUGAGCAGGAGUUUGGAUUUGAUGGCCUCACACAUUGCUUACCCAUGAGAAAGCCAAAGUUAGGCAUCAUAAAAAGUUUGAUUAAAAAACACAAGAGUGGCCCCUUCUAACUUCACUUUUCUAUUAUUCUAUGAUCAGCUGUUAACUAUACGACGACUAGUACCACCGUAUAAUUAAUUUGACUUAUGGGAUCAGCAACAAAGUGCUGCAGUAUGGAGUACUUCAGUUUAUAUUCCAGCCAACCUUUCCUGGCCUCCUCCCAUUUACUCCACUCAUCUCUCCUUUCCCCUAGUUUUCUAAGUCCUGCCCACAACCUUCAGUCCCUAUGUUCAGUCUUCAUUGGGACUGCUUCCGAGGCGUUCUCCAUCUUGGACAUGUGUAUUGACCAUGCUAUUUUGACUCUAUAAGAACACACAUUUGAAGAAGCUGAAGCUAGAAAACAGCUCCUCUGGGAGAAUACAGGAUGACUUAUUGCACCCGGAAAAUCAAUCACAAUGACCAACAAGAGAAUGCAGAUGCUUAAGAUGUUCACUUAAUGUUAUGUUUUCCUCUGAUGAGAAACAUUUACGUUAGAUUUAACCAUCCUGCAUUGAUGCCACGUUUUAAAAGCUUUUUGUAUUUUGAAUAAUAGAUCUGGAAAGCAGGAAAUGUUAGCCAGCAUAGCUUGCCACAGAGGCACCUGUUGGAAAACCCCUGAAACAAUAACAGACAUGCUAGUCUUAUCUUUUGCAACUGGUUCCCCUCCUUGAAAAGCACAGGAGGCUGGUAUGGUGACCUGACAAUACAGGUAGCUGUCACAAUCACUCUAUGGGAUCGCCAGAAUGCAGAUCUUCUUUCUUUGCUCUGGUUGAAAGUUACCCUGAAAACUUUUUCAUUUAGUGUUAAUGCUGUGCCAGUACACGUUGGGUCAGGAAAAUGAUUGCAAUGUUGAAGACUACCUAUUCCCCAUUAUGGGGGAAAACUGCCUCUGAAAGAUGACUUCUUUGGUCACAUUUCUUACAUUCUUCAUCGGUAACAAACCUCAACCAUAGGUUUUUCCAUUUUUUUUUAAUUAAAGCAAAUUCUGGGCUAGCUUAAAUGAGUUUUGAAAUUAAUUAGAAAAUCCACCCUCUUUAUCACCUCCUGUCAGAACUAUUUGCAGAAAUAAGGUAAUAACCACGGUUAUCUUUUUAUGAAAAUUCACAAGCGUGACAUAAGGAUUCCAUUUGUCUAAUUAACACCUUGAAAUAAAAAAAGAUAUUUGCACA